rnacentral:rRNA from 1 species
GUGGGGAAUCUUGCGCAAUGGGCGAAAGCCUGACGCAGCCAUGCCGCGUGAAUGAUGAAGGUCUUAGGAUUGUAAAAUUCUUUCACCGGGGACGAUAAUGACGGUACCCGGAGAAGAAGCUCCGGCUAACUUCGUGCCAGCAGCCGCGGUAAUACGAAGGGGGCUAGCGUUGCUCGGAAUUACUGGGCGUAAAGGGCGCGUAGGCGGACAGCUUAGUCAGAGGUGAAAGCCCAGGGCUCAACCUUGGAAUUGCCUUUGAUACUGGCUGUCUUGAGUUUGGGAGAGGUGAGUGGAACUCCGAGUGUAGAGGUGAAAUUCGUAGAUAUUCGGAAGAACACCAGUGGCGAAGGCGACUCACUGGCCAAAUACUGACGCUGAGGCGCGAAAGCGUGGGGAGCAAACAGGAUUAGAAACCCGUGUAGUCC